rnacentral:rRNA from 1 species
GAUUUCUGAUGAACCGGAGUGGCCCGUUUCCUUUCAGGGAAUGAGUGCCGCUUUGAGUUUGUCAUCCUUCCAGAGAGCUGCGUCUACCGUUUACUCGGCCGGACGUAUGCGAUCUGGAUCUAUUACUUUGAAAAAAUUAGAGUGUUUAAAGCAGGCUUAUGCUAUGAAUACAUUAGCAUGGAAUAAUAAUUUAGGACUUUGGCCCUAUUUUGUUGGUUUCUAGGACUGAAGUAAUGAUUGAUAGGGAUAGUUGGGGGUGCUCGAAUUCAGCGGCCAGAGGUGAAAUUCUUGGAUUCGCUGAAGACGAACUCAUGCGAAAGCAUU